rnacentral:misc_RNA from 1 species
UGCCCCUCACUUGUCAAUACGUCUAGAUCAGCCAGGGCGUCGGCAUGUGUAACGUAUUAUGUUGGGCUCUCUCGAGAUAAGGAUACGAUGUCCCUUUAUCGGUUGGUUUCCUGUGUGCGCGGCCCGUUCGUUUUUUUGUUACUUCGCAUCGUUCGGUGCAUUCUGGGGGCUGUGUUGGCUUUUGGUGGCUUGCUUGGCCUUUUGGCUUUGCUUGUUGCUACUUGUCGGGCUGCUUUCGGGAAUGUCGACCGUGGAGGUGCAUGAGUGGUGUUUGGUUUGUUACGUGUGGAUGGCUGUUUGCUUGUGCAACAACGUUCACGCUGCAUACCUCUUCAGUUUUGCGGCAAGGCUUGGUUUGGCUUGUGCAUAUUGUGGGUUUCCUGUGUUGCAUACCUAGUUGAUGGAAAAGUGUGGGUUUUACUAUUUUCAUUUUCGUCUUGCGUCGUUCUUUCGGCGUGGGAUGAACAAUGAAGCGAUCUUUAUGAUCCAUCGUGCUGUUGCGUUUGCAACAAUGAUGUGGCCUAUGAAGCAUCGUUUGGUCUCUUGUAUACGGAAGCUCAUUUGGGCUUGGGUCUUUAUAAGAUCUUCGUUACGCCCUUGUUAAGCGUUCUCGCUUCUCCUAAACGAUUG